rnacentral:lncRNA from 1 species
UUUGACAUAAACUUUAGGUAUCAUCAAGUAAAAAAGAUUGUUUAACACCUAGGUAUAUUUUUAUCUUUUAGCCAUUAAGUUACCAGAUUAAGCUUGCAAUGGAAUGAAAAUGUUCAUUAUUUAGAAUCUUCUCACAAAGAGGAAACCAGCUUAGGUAUUGUUACCUCCUUUUGUCAUCAGCAUUGGUGCCCUUCUGGAAAGCAGACAGUGGUGCAGGAGACGCUGUGUCUGCUGAUUCUGUGACUGAAGUGGCAGGCAUUGUGUCAAGUGUGGUGACCCCUCCCUGCAGCCUGACAGGUGAAACAGAAGUGAAUGCUGUGAGUUUAAAGAAGCACCAUUAGGUUCAUCUUUGAAAAAUUGUAGAGAAGGAAUAAAGCUUAUUAAGUCACCUAAGAAUAUCCCUCUGAGAGCAGCGAGGGAAAGGGGACCAGGUAUGAGGAGCUAAGUCCUGACCACUUUCCUAACCACACACAAAGGCAUGUCUGUUG